AUUGAACGCUGGCGGCAUGCCUUACACAUGCAAGUCGAACGGCAGCAUGAUGUGUAGCAAUACACAUUGAUGGCGAGUGGCGAACGGGUGAGUAAUAUAUCGGAACGUGUCCUGUAGCGGGGGAUAACCUAUCGAAAGAUGGACUAAUACCGCAUACGCUCUACGGAGGAAAGCGGGGUCGCAAGACCUCGCACUAUAGGAGCGGCCGAUAUCGGAUUAGCUAGUUGGCGGGGUAAAAGCCCACCAAGGCGACGAUCCGUAGCUGGUCUGAGAGGAUGAUCAGCCACACUGGAACUGAGACACGGUCCAGACUCCUACGGGAGGCAG
rnacentral:rRNA from 1 species